CCGAAGGCGGAGAGCCUGUAGUGCGCCUUGGGGGAGGCGGCGGCGGCGGCCGUCCAGGCGUCGGGGGCAGCGCUGGUGCUCCGCCGCCGCCGCCUGAAGUGGACAUCGGUGGGGAAGGGCUCGCCAAACUCAUUCACCCGGCUCGAAGAAGUGUACCAGCAAUCGAAGAAUCCCCCGUGUGACACUUUGGGUAGCAGUUUUCUUCUGCGUUUGUCAGAUAAGAGGUGCUUAAAGCAACUUUUUUUCAGGGUUAGUUUUCUGUCGUGCAGUUUUCAGGCACCCUGAGGGAAGGGACAGAUUAUUUCCUUAUCUGAGUUUAUUUUGGUUUACAGUUUGGAAGUUUUCUAUGAAAAUCUAAGACAUCCUUUAGAGCUACAUGUAAUCAAGCAGUAUCUUCUACCCUUCCUCAAGCCAAACCCCCAAAUUUUGGUGGUUUUUCUUUUCUUUUUUCAAAAUAGGGGAAAAGGUGCGAUGAAAUUUAAAGCUUGUAGGCAAGGCAAAAGAAGAUCAAUGGUUGGAAGUUCAGAUUUGCAUUUCUACAGAGAAUUUCAAAGUUCUGCACUUCAUUCUGGGACAAGGAACAGAAAUACCAGUAUUUGCUACAGAAAGGGAAAGCUUAAAAAAAAAAAUAACCCCACAAUCCACUUCUGGGCAAAACAGCACCUCCUGGCUCUUCUAGACUAACUGGUGAAGCCCUACAAACCUCAACUAUUAGGAGUGAAUUAUCAGUUUUGUACAGUGAACAUAAAAGUCAAAGUCAGCAAAGCAUCACCUGCGAAGCCGGGGCAGGCUCUUGGCAGCAGCUUUGUGCAGUAGAGCACGGUUUAGGAAUCUCCACAUUUGUGGAGACCCAAGUCAGCACACCUUUAGGGCAAGGCAUCAUGGCACAUAACCUCCCAGCAUGGCGUUGGGCCCACACCUAUAAACCAUGUUUAAUUUAAGUCUGGGAUGCGUACAAUAAGAUAACUCACCUAUAUUGGCUUUGGGGGCUUGACAAAGCUGGGAUGCUUCCAGGUGUGAGUCACUUCGCGUGCAGUCAGCUCUGACAGUGGUGUUGGGUCUCCUUGUGUCCAGCCUUAGGGCUGGCACGGGCACAGCCACACCUGCCUGAUGGUCCCCCAGCCCUGGGGAGCAGAGGUGUCUCCCUGCUCGCACCAUGGGUGUGUAGGAGCAGCGGCGUGCCCAUUCUGGUACACGUGUCUUCUCCUGCCAGCAGCAGCUCUUCCCAAUGGCCAAACAUGGUUAUAUCUCCAUGCACUCACCUGUUCAUGGGUGAACCUGGACCAGAUUUGCUUUUCAUGAUGCAAAGGGCCUGCUCAGUCACAUUUUCUGUUAAUUGCUUGCUCAUGCACACUAUUUAAGAAAGAAAACCUCAGAAGAGCUACAAGACCAAACUACACUGAAAUAACUUCAAUGUGCAAACCCCUGGCUUGUGUGGCCUUUCGUGGCUUGGCAAGAAAAGUGUGGCAUCCCCACCUGUCCCACACUGGAUUGUGUCCUGAUUGAGUUGGAAAAGCCACUGAGGUCCUCGGGCUGCUGGAUGAACAAAAAAAGAGAAUCUUGUAACAUCAUUACAUAGCACCCGGGCUUCCCUCCAGGCAUUUUAUCACUCCGAUUCUUUUCUUCAGGCUUUCUCUGUCUCAUCGUCAAAUAAAUUACUUAACUUGUAGCAGGAGUACUAUCUGCUCCCUGAGCUGCAGUCCUGCUCCACGAGGCCAGCAGGAGCACCCUGUACAUCACCGAACCCCUGGCAGCCUUCCAGCACCUUCCCACAAGUUCCACGUGUGCCCCAAAACUUUCAGACUUCACAGGGAGAAGGAUACAGGGUGCUCGAGUGGGGGAUAUGGCCCCAGAAGUCGUGGCAGGGGAGGGGGAGGCCGUGUCCUGUGCUCAGGUGGGCGCAGACACGUACCCCGGGAGUGCCGGGGCGAGCCAGCGUGGCCAGGUGGGUGUGUUGAGCGAUAUCGAGCUGCCAGUCAGCAGAGGGGGAGUUGAAGAAAAGUGAACCGAGUUGCCUGAGGAAGGAGAGAGUGAAAAGCUGAGCAUAGCAUUAGAGCUGAGUCAGAAGGGAGGGGAGAAGGCUUACGUGGAACUAGUCCUGCCAGUGUCCUGGGGGAGAGGGAUGCAGCCUUCGCUCCUUUCCUCGUCCUCAGACCAGGAUGGUGUUGGCGAAACAGGUCUGCUGCUGUUUUAUCUGGAUUGCAGAGUGCCCCAGAACAGCUGCCAUCCCCAUUUCACGAGUGUCCUGCAUCCCACUGCUCCCAGCCUCGGCAUCCCUUUGCGCCAGAUCCCACGCUGGCAGGAGCUGCCUUGCUUCUGUUCAGCUCACUGACACAGGAAAACCUAUCAAAGCUUUGGGGUUUUUCCCUAGUUUUCUACAAGGUAACCCGUUAAUUUGGCUCUGGGGUGAGGUUCAAAGGAGCUGAGGAGCUGGCAUGGGGUGAGAAGUGGCAGCACAUAGCUGUGCCUGGGGUGGAUAGGACCCUUCUUUUUGGCACUGAGCUGAACGGGGUGACUUGCAGAGGAGCAUCCUCAUGGGCUCACUCACUGAUCUGAAGCCUCGGCACAUACAGACACGAGGGCAGGCAAGAAAGAAAACCCUUCCAUCUUUCAGAAGAGGGGAGCUGACCCAUGGAGGAGCUAAUUAGGUCUCAAUUAUGGGGCAGAGUUGGGAAUGGGCUGAAGUGCUCCCAGGACCAAAUCCUGGCUUUGCAAUGGCACUAAACACAUUCUAGGAGCAUGGCAUGACUUACUUUCAAUGCCGUUUCCAUUGAUGUAAGAGUUAUAUUUUGUGGGGCGUUUUGAAUCUUUACAGCUGGAGAUUAGGAAGUGCAGAAGGAAAGCUGUCACAUAACUAAAUAGAUUUUGCGGAGUUGAGAGAAACUAAGCUACAAUCUUAAAUUCAAAUAGCUUUCCUGUUAGGAAGGAUCUAUUAAUACUUAGGGUAUGGUAAUUGUGCAGACUCUUAAGUCCUCACCCAGUCAAAAGUAACCCCUAAGAGCCCAUACCUAUGCAUGAAAAAAAUCCCUGUAAAACACUGGGAAUUUUGCCUACAUAAAUACUGCAAAAGUUGAGCUGCAAAUGCCUCUUUCUAUAAACUACAAAAUGAGAACUUGAUCGCAACAGCAAAACUUCAGUAGAAAAUUUAAGGCAGUGCAUGCUGCCGCAAGAAUGCACUCAAGAAACCCAAACUUCCUGAGGUUUUUGCAUUGCUUUUCACCCUUGUUACAAUUUCCUUUUCCCCCAUAGGUGAGGGCAAUCCCCAGUCACUAAUCUUCGCUUUUUGCUGCCCGGCCUCUCUGAGUAAGCGUCAUCUUCCCUUAUCUGCUACAUUCACUCACUUGCCCAACAAUUAUCCCAGAAGGCAGACUGUUUUCCUUUGAUGGUUGCUCUUCAAUGCCACAAGAUAACCAAAGACAGCCAACAUUUUCUCCUCGUGUCUAAUCUGUGUGGUCAGAAAGUGAAAGAUUUCAUUCCCUUCAAACAGCUGACUGCUUGCUGGCUGGACAUCGGCCUGUCUUGCGCAUCUGCCUAUGCUGGUAGCAAGGAUGCUGCUCCGUGCUGCCUUUCUCUCAGUUUACGAAGCUCUUCUGCUCACAUGAAGGCUUCUUGUUGAAGGACAUUCUCAUCAAUUGUGUCAAGGCUGGAUUUUUAAGUCAUUUUAAGCCUUUCAGGUUUGUUUGGAGGGGCUGAGACUUGCAAGUUCUUGCUGUAUACUUAAUUUUCAAACUUGUUAUCCAUGCCAAGCCCACUCUUUUUGAUCCUGGUUAAAAGGAUUUAAAUAUACAGUUUAAACUCAUCUACAGUAGCCAUUUAAGCUCCUGCUUCCUCAGUGGGGCUCUCAGUUCCUACCCCGAGCUGUGCUCCAUGUAACGUGCUGCUGCCAUCGAGGUGUGCGACACUUGGCUGGUUGGGGUUUGCUCCUCAGACUGCAGAGGGCUGGGAAGUGGUACCUGCCAUUGACAGCAGUACCAGCACAGCACUUCUGGUGCUGCUGUCACAGCUUGCCCUCUGUGGGCCCAUGUCCUGGUCCCCAUUUUAGGCCAGUGGCAGAGGGAGAUGUGAAAUGAUGUGCCAGGAUGCUUCAGAGAAGAAUUAAACUCUCAGUCCCAGCCUGGUCCCCUGAAUACAGAGAUGGGCACAUUGAAGUGACUAAUCCAAUGUUACCCAGGCAAAUAAGACCCAGACAUCCUUCUGUUUGGUCCUGGGUUAGACCGUGCAACAUAAAUGUCCUCUCAGCCGAUGGAAUGCAGCAGGAGCUGCGUGCUGUGGGAGCCACCCCUCUGCACAGAGGCACAAGCUGGGUGCAGUGGAAAUGUGAGUAUAACCUCCUCCUUGCUCCUUGCCUGCUCGUCAUCCCUACUCCUUGCCUGGGUGGGGAACCACCAUUUGGGAACAGAAGGUGAAGGAGGAAAAGCAAACAAGUCUCUUGCAUUGCUCUUCUCACAUGCAAGGGAGCUGGCUCUCAGUUUGCCUUAGAAACAACUUUGACCCUGGAAAACAGAUACAUGAGUAGGAACUAGGGACUGGGUGGGAGGAACAGCAAAGCCCACGUAGAUGCUGCAAAUGUGUGGGAUUUUCUGCUUCAGGUCAGCACGGAUGGAUGUAAUGAUCCCUUGAGGCUUUCCACUUAAAACUGUUGGUUCCAGUUCACCCCUCCCCUGCUCCCAGCAUUGCCACAGACAGUUCAGAUGAUGCUCCUUUUGCUUACGCCUCUUAUCUGCUUUGUGGAAAAUGCGUGCUCAGCGUAGCCCAACUUCUGGGUCUCACUGCAGCCUGGCAGUUCCUUUGGCCUGGCAGGAAUUUAUAGAUCCCAUCCCCUACCCUUUUUACUACAGGUUGCAAUCUGGUGCACGUCUUAAAGUAGCUGAGAAACACUUAAUCCUACAUCUGCCCAUUUUUGUGCAAAUUAAGACAUCAAGCUAAACACUAUAUUGGUUUAUCUUUUGUUUGACACGCUAUAAAUUAAACAGGACCUGAAUAUGCUCCUUUUGAUUUUUGAUACAAUGUACACGUGCAUGUAUGCUGUGUUCCAGGUGCCUUUGCCAAGACAUUAGCAGUAAUACUAGGAGGACUGAAUAGAGCAGAUGUUCUGUAAUCCCACACCAAAAGGCAACCUGGGAAUGCUGAAAGUUCUGCAGCCAGAAGUGUUACCCAGAGAUAUUUAGAGGAUUUGGACCAUUGGAGCCUUCCUGAUAACCACAACCCCGCCAGAGCAACUCAUCACCUGCAGGUGCACGGCAGACCUGAGGAGACACACACAUGGACAUGAUGCCUGGAGAUACGGCAGCUCUGUUAAGGAGCUAUCCCCAAGCCACCCUCCUGCAACCCACUUCACAGCGCAAGGAACAAAAGAGGAGCUUCUGCAUUGCUUAAACACAGAACUACUGCCCUGUUACAGCUAUUUCUUGCCAUCUCCAGGGAGGCCGGUGGUGACCAUGCAGCAGUGACAGGAAUCUUAGAUAUUUUGCAAACAAUUUUUAUGACCCAGCAAAGAGCUUCCAGAAGACAUGAGCGUGUGAUACAGUGACACGGAUGUCUGCUGUCAGUCUGAAAUGGGGUACAAGCGUGCACUUCUCUAUCCAAGCCUUUCAGUAAAAGUGCAUGCAGCUUGUUUCUUGAUUUUGGGAAAUACUUGCAAAUGCAAGCAGCCUCACCCUGCAGCUGGUGGUGUCUGGAGUACCCUGCAAUGUGGGUACAGCAGCGCCUGGCCCUCGUGCCACAGCCACGAGCCCCCUGGCUCCGGGCAGUGCAUGGAUAACACCGCAGCUGGAAUAAUUAACACAGAAGAUUUUGCAAGCACAUUUGCUGAUUGCAACUUUGUCCUAGAGACUGGAGUCUCCUGCAGCUGUGAGAAAGGAGGCUCCUUGUCGUUUAUAGCUGAGGUCAGCGGAGGGCCAGAGCAAGGAAGUUUGUAUUGCAGCAAUUUGUACCUUAUCUGGUUUAUAGAUGUAAACAAAAGGUUUACACUUCCGUUACUGAACUCUCCUACACCAAAAAUGUUCAGCGCAUAGAGGAGGAGAGGGAUCAGCCAUGUCUGCGCACACUUAUUUCUUGAGCAUAUUUUGAAAAGUGCAGUUAACGAGUCCGGUGUUUCUGAAGGGUUUGGAAAUUAAGACUCCCUUGCAGUGCUUAAAAACCCAGUCUCUACAGAUGUCAUUCCAGGAUCUCCAUAGGGUCUGGAUGUAACUCCUGAGUCUCAUGGACUUGGGUCAACACCGCUGAAGCCAAGAGUUCUUUCAUGAGCUUUAGGUCACUCCCAGUUGCUUCUGAAGUCAUUGCCCAGGCUUUUCUCAUUUUAGUCACAGUACCAGAGUUUUGUAUCACUUGAAAAGCUCCAAGGCAAGGGACAUAUGGAGCCUACAAAAGCAUAGUUAUUGUGCUAGCUAGCUCCAGUCCCAUGCCAAGCAAAUUAUUCAUGCACACUCUGUGGAUAGGAGGCACAAGCUUUCAUGUGGUUAUAUGGAUAAAGGGAGGAGAAUUUGGGCCACUGACUCAGCCUGUCAGCAAUGUUUCCCCCUAAAUACAGCCAUGGAGCUGCAAAGCAGAUUUCUCACAGCACUGAUGUUGGGGCAGUACUCUCUUUGGAAAAUGUGACCCCUUAUGUACAUGUCACUUGGAAACCAGUAUCGUACAAGGGAGCCAAACUCUUCCAAAAGUCUGACCUUUUGAUUAUUACCUUUCAUGAAAGCAAGCAACUGAACAAAAGCAGCUUAGAGAUAGCAUUUCAAAUGAGAAUCAGACAGCUUGCCUGAAACAGAAGCAGUAGCUACCUGCCCAGCCUGUUAGAGACGUGGCCAUGCUAUGCGAUGCUGCACUCCUGCAUCCAAAAGGAAACCUGACAUUCAACAGGUGUUCUGCUUUUUAGGUAGUCUAACGGAAGGAGAAAGAGUUUGAGGAGACACACUACAAAAAGGUCCUUUAAAGGCACCUACUUUUCCAUUUCAGCUCCAUGACCAAAAUACUGUGGGGGGUUUUUUCUUCCCCUCUCUCAGUGGAUUUUAUUCAAUUACCAUUGCAGCGGCCAGUGCCAAGUGCGGGGUACAUUCCUGCUUCAGUCAUUUUUGUGUCUACUUGGCAGCAAUCGUGAACACCCAGAAAAGCAGGCAGUUGCUAUUUGCUUCAAGUUUUACUUUCCCCUUAGAAAUAUUUCUGAUUUGGCUUUGCCACACUACACACACACACACAAAUAAUUCUUAUGAUCCUUUCACAAAGGAAUUAAAUUUACUCUAUUAUUUUAGUUAGUGGAAAUAGAAAAGCCAAUCAGUUGACUGUAAUUGUACAAUAAAGCCAAGAGUAGUUCAUUUCAAUCCUUGUUCCAUAAUACUUAUAUAAUUCAGACCUGGAGACAAAAGCAGUAAGGUCAUGGAUUAACAGUGGCUUAAAGUUGAAAAUAGCCUGAGGAAGUAAGGAUGACAAAGUAAUUACUACUGGGCAAAUCAUAUGUUAAUGGGUAUGGGAAUUAUUUAGUGUAUGACAUUUAAUCAAUGUAAAUGGAAGAAACAUGAAAACAAAUUCAACUUUUAAGGUCUCCAUGAUUUUAUAUAUAUGUGACUAGUCUCUAUAAUUGAAAUAGAUCUAUUUCAUAUAAAAAUACACUUGAAGUGACAAUAUAUUAAAAUAAAUGAUUUUGUAAUAAUUAAAAUGGUUGUUGAAAUACAGAGAUAGUUCUUAUGAAUAGUGUUUUAUAAGUUUGCUUUUUUAACUGAGGUGCCAAGCAAUUAAAAAGAACACUGUGCAGAAACUCAUCUCUAAACACCUGCCAUAAACUGCAGUUUUCUAGGUAAAAGAUCACAAUUCAGAGAUAAAUAAUGUUGGCAAUUCACUUUGCUAUAGCAUGCGAGGUAAAUCACAUCAAAGCUUUCAUGUGCAUACCCAAACAAAUUAGCAAAAUCCAUUAUAAAAGGUCUGGUAGGGUCUGUACUCACCCGUGCUGGAAUUUCACAAGACACCUAGCAAUGUUUCAUUAGGAUCACCUAUUGCAAGAAUUACAGCUGGUACAAUAAUAAUUGCUGUGCCAGAGAUAAUUGCAGAGAUUGCGAGAGCGCAAGACACAGGAUAACUAGAAAAGGAAUUCUGUCACAAGAAUGCCACACAAUUUUUCCCACAAGUAAGGGAAGAAAAUUAGAUUUCGAAACAGCGGGUGAACACUUAUUUGCCAGGGUAACAGCUACUGCCUGCACAGAAACCAUCCCCCUGGGCCCGUGGGAUGUUCAGAAUGAGGAGCAGCUGAACAUUUCCAAGGAGAACAGGGGCAAUUAAUAUUUUAGUGCUUCUGUGCUAAAAGAAAUUGCACCUGCACACAUUAUCGCUGGGUGAAAAAACCAUGCAUUGAUGAAAACACAUACGAUCUAGUUCCGUUACUCAUCAGACCACCUCUAGCCUUGCUGUCCAAGACACCUCCCCAAAGGCAAGUGCCUUGUCUCAGUGAUUGGGACUUACUGGGAGAAGUUCGUCAUGGCCUUGAUUCAUAGCUCAGUCAGAGCAGAGAGUUUACUGAGACCUUUUGGGUCUUUGUAAUACCAUGUUGGUAAUAGCACAAAUAAACCCACUGUCUUGGGAUAAUGUACCUCCUUUUAUACAAACAUUUCAUCUCAAAGUCUUAAAUAGGCAAUAAAACAAUAUUUAGUCUUAUAAGUUGUCUUUGUUUAGGUUCAUAACGUAGCAACCUACCACAUGCAUUCCCCACAUUCAGAACACCUCAAAACCUCUAUUAGUAACUCAUCCCAAAAUAAACGUGCCGUUUGAGUCAAAGUUAUUCUAUUCUGAAGAGGGCUGCUAUAGCCAGGUCCUGUGAAUACAGGACGAUAACGUGCUCUUGAUUAUUUAAGAAAAAAAAACCCAAAACAAACAAACAAAACAAAAAAAGUGAAAAAAGGUGUUUUCCAUUUCAGAAGUGAAUUUUUGCACAUCCUUAUUCAAAGCCAUGUUUUCUUCAUCCAGAUAUAGGUUAUGACCUGAAGAAAAUAUCCACCGCGACCUUUCUUCCUCCCAGCCUUUGGAUGCCACCAUCAGAAGGGUGAUGAGGCAUUGCCUCCUGCCCCCAGCCACACAACACAGUGUCCUGGGCUAUUUCACAGGGUUUUCCCUGUCCUUCAAUUGUCCCAUGCAGAAGCAAAACAACUGCUAUGUACAUGUAGCACAAUUUAAAGACUGCUUAACAGGCUGGUUCUGAUUCUCUGUGUCUUAUGAGCCACGCCAUCCUAUUUAGUGUUUUUGGUGUUCCGUACGCGCACCGGUGGCUCUGUGCUGUUCCUUGGUUCCUUGUCCAGCCAUGACAGAUAAUAAUGCCUUUGGCAUGUGGCACUCAGCUAAGGCAAGCACUGAAAGCGUUAACUCAAAGGCAGGAUAAUGUCCUAUUUGGUUGAAGUAAAAAGUAAAUAAAUACAGGAUUUACUGCAAUUUAAGGCUUAAGAUGAGAUCAGAUGCCUGUCAUCUCCAAACACCUCUCAAUCAGCGAAAAAUAAUCCUUCACAAAAUAGAUUGUUGUUUUUUGGUGCAAGUUUUUCUGGAGAAAAUGAAGCCAUAUGUUAUUCCUCCGUAGAGUGGAGGAAGGUGAAGUAUAAACUCAGCUGAAAACUUAUCCAGGGCUUCUGGCAAGUGCGGGCUCGACGCAUGUGAUUUGUGCUGCUUACCAGAUCUUUGCAUUUCAUGGAUCCCAGAUGAUGUGCAGGGGCAUCUCUCGAAAAGGAUGCAGGAAGUUAGGGCUAUCAUCAGCUAAUGAAGAGGGCAGGGAAACUAAAGGGGAGCAGACAGGAGAGUGAGCUUGGAGCUCUGCCCUCACCAUGGGUGAACGAGGACUUGCUCCCAUCCCUGGGAACUGUGGCGCUGGAGCCACCUGCCCACAGGGUUGACUGGUUAUCCUUCUUCCCCUCUUUAU